AGGUAAUUAGUUUAAAGAAAACAUUUGAUUUCGGCUCAAAAACUCAUGGUUCAGGUCCACGAUAGCCUA
rnacentral:tRNA from 1 species